rnacentral:rRNA from 1 species
GACGAACGCUGGCGGCGUGCUUAACACAUGCAAGUCGAACGGAAAGGCCCUGCUUUUGUGGGGUGCUCGAGUGGCGAACGGGUGAGUAACACGUGAGUAACCUGCCCUUGACUUUGGGAUAACUUCAGGAAACUGGGGCUAAUACCGGAUAGGAGCUCCUGCUGCAUGGUGGGGGUUGGAAAGUUUCGGCGGUUGGGGAUGGACUCGCGGCUUAUCAGCUUGUUGGUGGGGUAGUGGCUUACCAAGGCUUUGACGGGUAGCCGGCCUGAGAGGGUGACCGGCCACAGUGGGAUGGGGAUACGGCCAACACUCCCGCGGGAGGGAGGAGGGGGAAAUUUUCCCAAAAGGGCGGAAGCCGUGUGCAGCAACGCCGGGUGGGGGAAGACGGCCUUCGGGUUGGAAACCGCUUUCGCCUGUGCCGAAGCGUGAGGAAGGUAAAUGGGAAAAAAAGCACCGGUAAAUUCGGG